rnacentral:lncRNA from 1 species
CUUGAAGCUUAUCUCAUUCCACUUGAAGCUUAUCUGCUUAUCUCAUUCCCCUGUGGUAUGCACUUAUUUAUUUAUUUAUCCUCCAGUGUUUUAUUUACUGGGUUGAACAGUUCAGGCUUUAUGCCAAUAGGGGAGAGUGUCCAUGGAUAAAAACUAGCUGUAGCUAAAGCAGGUGGGUAAAUUCAAUGGCGGGCAGAGGUCCCAGCCUUGACAGAGAUGUCUGGGGGAGCUCUCAGUCAAACAAACUGAAGUCCUAUCGUAAGGAAGGACUCUAGUCCUAGAUCUACCUCAGCUCCCCUACUAGGCCAGCAGGAAAGCCAUUCCACACCCAGACACACCCCUGAGCCAGUGUUUUAACUAUUCAGAUCAGACAGACACCUCUUUUCAUCUGCAGGAAAGUUGAUGUUUCAAGUAGAGAAGAAUUGUGACUCUACCUCUCAUGUAAGCCUGCACUUGGAGGAUGCUCCUUCUGUGGGGUUGCAGUCACUCUGAAGUAGUCCAGAAAGGCUAUCUCUAGGUGCACACACAGAGCUCCUCUAGGAAAAGCCCUGGCUGUGUCUGCAGUGGUGGGUAAGGGGGGAAAGAAGUUUCCUUCUCCAAGACCCUUAGUAAGCACAAGGGCUACCUGAGGGUUGGGGUAGACUUUCAGACUUUCCUUGUUAAACCCAGCACUGCAACUGUGCUUCUGCUGAAAGAAACUUCCCAGAAGAGGAAGAUCUGGGACUCAAGAGAUCGAAACCAUCCUGUCCAACAUGGUGAAAUCCCAUCUCUACUAAAAAUACAAAAAAUUAGCUGGGCACGGUGGCGCAUGCCUGUAAUCCCAGCUACUCAGGAGGCUGAGGCAGGGGAAUUGCCUGAACCCAGGAGGUGGAGGUUGCAGUGAGCCGAGAUCGCGCCAGUCUGGCACCUGGCGACGGAGUGAGACUCUGUCUCAAAAAAAAAAAAAAAAAAAAAACUAAACAUCCCUACAAAAAAGGAUCUUUUUCCUCAGGGAGUGAAAUGGAGUAUAAAGACAAAUAUUUUUUGAGGUCUUAUCAUGUGCCAAGUACUACGCUAAGUUUUUUUUUUAAUCAAGC